rnacentral:lncRNA from 1 species
GGAGGCUAGGGAUAGCAAGCUAGUAAUUAGUAUUAGGCUCUUUUCGCCGAGGGAUCGGGUUAAGGGUAGGCUAAGAAAGUUGCAUGACAAUUAAUUAAUCAAAAUAAUAAAUCAAGAGGAGUAAAUAAGAGAGAGCGGAUUAGAUGAAAUUGUAAACCCCCAACAACUUCAUUCAUCCAUUCUUUUCUUCUUGUCAAUUGAAUUAUUCUCGUUUGCAUGUUUAUAUUUUAUUCACACAUCCAAUUAAUUAAUUUUUUUUUCAACUCUUACGAUUUUAAUUCACGCGAAUGAUAAGGCCUUUCGAGUCUCUUGGAAAAACGAUACUUGGUCUUACCAUUUACUAUUACUUGAACGAAUUGUUACGCUUGCCAAUCCGUCAACAAGUUUUUGG